UGUAUAUUUACAGACGGACGCACACACACACACACACACACACACGCAAACAUUGCAAAGCAUGCCUGCACAAACGCGCUUGGGGGCAGCACAGUCGCACUCUUCCCCCCACGCCAAGCUGCUUUCCUCUCCCCCCUAUAGGGGGUGUCCCUGCUCGCCUGUUCCUUUGCACUGGCCUACCUCCUUUUUGGGCUGCAUGCUGUCUGAAGGCCCCGCACAGUCCUCAACCUCAAAAAGAUUGUGUGAAGCACUGGAUCAGCAUUGCUAAUAUAAUUCUGCAGAUCAGCUGCUGUCAGCUGGCAGCUGUUCCCAAAUGCCUUAGGAAGCAGCAGAAGAUGCAAGAGUACAUUUUACUGAUAACAUGUCCCUUCACCAUUCCAGGAAUCAGGAUGAUAGGCUGGAAAAGACAUUGUUCUAUCCCAACUGACUUGUCUUAUGUUGACUGUAUAUCUGAUGAACUUUUGCUUGUUGUUUUAUUAAGACUGGAACCAGUGUCCCAGCCAUUUAAGGGAUAACCUCCAUUAGACAGCCUACCUGCCCUUUCCCUAAUCUGAUCCUGUUUUACUGUCUGUUGACUUCUCUUGGAGGGGAAAUCAGUUGUUCAUUCAAGGCAAAUAUCUGAAAAUUAUGCUGCCCAGCACCUGCUUUGGGAGGUGAUCUUGAGGUUGGACAUCCUAGGUCUGCCUUAUGCAACUAUAAUGUAUGGUGGGUUUCAAAGUUCUACAUCAAAGAUCUCAAAUCUGCUUUUGAGACUAUACACAUAUAUUUUACACAUUUUGAGACUAUAGUUCCCAUCCUCAGACACCAUAGCUAAAUGGUCUAGGAGAACAUCAUUGGGAGACAACUUGAGGGACUUGCUAAAGGCUGAAAGCUCAAAAGUCUGACUCCCACAUUCCCAAUGUGAUGCAUGGGAACAGUAAUUGGCCUGCUGAAUGUUACUUGGCACCUACCAGGCUCUCUGCCAUCUAUAUGACUACACAGAGCCCAGAAUGUAGACAUGAAGAAGAUGAGCUGCUCCAGAAGCAUCCUGUGGAAAUGGUUGCCCAAGUUUAACCACCUCAGAACAAACUGGAAGAGGAGUCCAGCUGCAUCACACAAACCUAUCCUCAGAUUUGGAAGCCUUUGUCCCUCAGGCAGUCUCUUCAACAUCUGCUCAGAAGAAAAACUUGAAUUGUCCCUUAUUUCCAGGGAUAAAUCUUGGCUGAGUUGAGCCUUGUCACAAAUUCUUUAUGUCCUACUGGGGUUGGCCUACCAUUUAAGAGUAAGGUUUAUUUUGGAUUUCUUGAAAAUGCUCUGGUUGUUUUCUCGAUUAUUUAAUUCGCUGCUUAUUGUGUGUUUAUUCUCAGGGAUGGGGGAGAAAUAUGUGAGGAUUUUCUGCCUAGGGUACCAAAAUAAUUUGGCUGACUUUGGACACUAUGUUUUAGGUGCCUGAGGGUGGUGGGAGAAAGGCCUGUUUGGUUCCAUGCCUCAGGAAGCAAAAUAACUUGAAUCCAUCUUGGGAGAUAAUAGAGCCGGCCUUGCACAACAUGAUGGACUAAGACCUAUGUCCCACCUGGUAGGAAGAUGCAAAACAGAACUCUGUAGGGGUGUGAUGGAUGGGAGCUAAAGUGGCCAGAGGGACAUUACUCCAUUACUAAGAAAGGCCAGGGAGUUGGUUAACUUCCCACCCAUCAUCAUCAUCAACAUCAUCACAACACUGCCCUGGUCAAUUAUUUGGAGAAAACAACUGACUAGAUGGAAUUCCUUUAGUUUCUCAAAAAAAUGAGGCUGUCUAGAUCUAAAAUUAACUCUCUUGGAUUUACUUAGCUGGAUCAGCUGGCCACCUUAGAGUAUUUAUGUGACAUGCUAACCCACCAUGUUGACCCAGUUAACUGUGUCACGCGAACAGGGCAAGAGCUUCGAAGAGCUUUUGGAAAUUUAUGUUGAGGUUCCAUAGAUAAAACUGGAACAGCAGAUCAAAACAUUUCUUCCAUUCAUAAUCAAGUCACUUCUGCACAUUCUUUAUACCGUGAGUGCUCUUGAACACCAUUUCAGUGAAUCUUCUACAGUAUACCAUUCUGCCGAAUUGUUCUUGAAAUUAACUUGUCAGUUUUGGGGGGGAAUGACUCUCUUUUUUAAUUUUUAAUUCAUCUGAUGCCCUGCAGAAGAACUAAGGGCUACUGCCUUUGACAAAUCAAAUGUUUGAAGACUAAAAACCUAAGUAGAGCUGGAACUCAUGUUCAGCAUAUCUUUUCAAUAACUGGGUUUGUACAUUGUGCCAAGCCAUGAUUAUUGUACAUUAAAAUGUUUUAUUCACUAAACUACAGUUGGCUGAAUUCAACAUACAGAGCCAUAAACUGUGGCUUACAAACCACAUUAGCUGGGUUCCCCCAAUAUACUAAACUAAAUCUAAUAAACAAUAUUAUAGUUUUGUGCAAUGUGGCAGUGCUCAAGGCUAGAAUAAAGAAAGUAGACACAAAAUGUUUAUGAGCGAGUCGAAAGUACAUAUGCUAAGUAUGGCUGUCUUAAAAUAGUGAGCCCACAUUCCUUUUAUUUUUUAGAAAAGCAGCUUCUGAAAGAGGUGAAAUUUGGCAGACAGGCACAAAAGAAGAGUUUCCCAGGUUCCUUUUCUUACAUAAAAAAGAUGUAGGAGGCUUUAUGACGCAUGCUAUCCCAUAAUACAUUGUUCAUCUUUAAGAAUCUGCCAAAAGUCCCCAGUAAUGGGGAAGGAAGAUCUCCUGAGCAGCAAAUGCCUUCAUGAGCCUCUGUGCCUCUACCUGAUAAAUUAAAUAUUGAGCUUUGGUGGGACUUGAAUGUAACUUUUACUGCAGUUGGGCACAGAUUGACAAUUUCUUGAUCAGAACCUGGGUGUAUCAUAAAUGUAGGUAAUAAACAAUACCUGGGUCCUAUCAGUGUGUUUCUAUUCAAUUCACACUCCUGUAUGCAUGUUUUUUAAGAUCUCAGAAGGAAGCAUUCCUAGACUCAUUAGUGGGAUAUCUACAGUACACUAGACUAGGCAAAAAUGUGUUUGAAAAGAUCAUGUUUUAGCCUCAUAAGGGAACUCAACCUUGUCUUAACAUGUUGUGUUGAACCAUGAUAUUAUUUAUUGUUUGGGCAUAACAUGUGAACCCAAUCUCCUUGAUUCAAAUGCCAUAG